AGAUCUCUAUUUCGUUAUUUUGUAUACAAUAUUAUUUAAUUCUCGUUAUAAUUGUAUUAAUAAAUCUCGACUUUAUACACCGCGCUGCCGUUUAUACGAUUUUAACUAUUAUAAUACCACGCGACUAAUGCUUAUAAGAUUUUCCGGUAAGGAUUUCGAUGAGACGCACGCGCGUGCGAAACAAGAAGAUUUAGUCGGGUAUAUAAUUGAAUUCCGGUAAAAUCAAUUGUAAAUUAAUUGUUUCGUCGUGAUAGCUAACGCAGAGCGUGGGUUGUUUACCGCGCGUGCACAUUUAAAUCCCGGUAGCCGUUGCCGACUUACUGCAGGGAUUUUGCGGCGUGUCCUGGCUCUAAAUAUGUUUAUUUUCUUCAAAACGUAUGUGUCAGUUUCAGAGUUAACUUUUUUUUAACCGGAAACUUUGAAUUCAAACCGAAACAGAGUCCACCAGAUUUUCGGAUCGUACGAUAUACUUUCCAGCAAAAUGUCCGUUCGAUUUUUCAAUUGG